AUUGAACGCUGGCGGCAGGCCUAACACAUGCAAGUCGAGCGGAUGACGGGAGCUUGCUCCUUGAUUCAGCGGCGGACGGGUGAGUAAUGCCUAGGAAUCUGCCUGGUAGUGGGGGACAACGUUUCGAAAGGAACGCUAAUACCGCAUACGUCCUACGGGAGAAAGCAGGGGACCUUCGGGCCUUGCGCUAUCAGAUGAGCCUAGGUCGGAUUAGCUAGUAGGUGAGGUAAUGGCUCACCUAGGCGACGAUCCGUAACUGGUCUGAGAGGAUGAUCAGUCACACUGGAACUGAGACACGGUCCAGACUCCCACGGGAGGCAACAGUGGGGAAUAUUGGACAAUGGGCGAAAGCCUGAUCCAGCCAUGCCGCGUGUGUGAAGAAGGUCUUCGGAUUGUAAAGCACUUUAAGUUGGGAGGAAGGGCAGUAAGUUAAUACCUUGCUGUUUUGACGUUACCGACAGAAUAAGCACCGGCUAACUCUGUGCCAGCCGCCGCAGUAACAC
rnacentral:rRNA from 1 species